UACGGGGGGGGCAAGCGUUGUUCGGAAUUACUGGGCGUAAAGGGCUCGUAGGCGGCCAACUAAGUCAGACGUGAAAUCCCCAGGCUCAACCUGGGAACUGCGUCUGAUACUGGAUGGCUUGAGUGCAGGAGAGGAACGCGGAAUUCCAGGUGUAGCGGUGAAAUGCGUAGAUAUCUGGAGGAACACCGGUGGCGAAGGCGGCGUUCUGGACUGCAACUGACACUGAGGAACGAAAGCCAGGGGAGCAAACGGG
rnacentral:rRNA from 1 species